GAAGAGAGGCAGAAACUGUUGACAAGUCUGGAAAUUGGAAAUGUAAAUGAAAAAGGGAGUCCCUGGGGAGAGCGUGGGUAUCCAGCCUCCCCAGCUCAAUCACCUCGUGCCAGGGAGGCUCACGGCUCAGGGACUCAGCAGCAAAACUGGCUGAAACGAUUUCCCAUCCAUCUCUCAGACAAGGUGACAAGACUGCUGCCUUAGGGAUCACACUUUAAAAACCCUGCUCUGGAGUAUAAAAGAUCCACUGCCCAGCCUGCAGACAGGACUCCUCCUGCACCAUUUUACACAGGGUUCUGAAACGAAAGAAGUACCGCAAAGCCCAGGAGCUGGGUCAGGAAGUCUGAUGGCUCCAGGCAGUGACAGCUUCGUGCUCCAGUGAACUCACAAAAUGCAGUGUAAUUUCCUCUUCCAUUUAACUAUCAGCAGCACGGAAGGAGAGCCACUCUCUCCUGCCCUCCUCUCCCUGCCUUCGUUAGUCAUGACUCAUUAAUUGCCACCGGCGAAUGAGUAUUAUUCUAAUUUUCCAAAUCUAAUUCGCAGAUGUUUUCAGCUAAAGAUCAGGAUAUAGGUUUUUGGCUUAGCUAAUGAAAUAUCUAAUGAAUUUGCAUUAGUGACAAUUACAGACAGGACACCCAUAAGAGAAGGGCCAAUCACAGCCCUCAGCUGAUGCCACUUGCUAACGGCUGCUUUAAGGAGAAAAGUACAGUUCUUGAGGUCCUCUCCCUCACUGACAAUGCCAUUCAGGAGACAGGGGCCAGAAGAAGGGAAUUGAAGAAGAAGCACUUGCCUUUCCUUUAUCUUCUUUUGUGCCGUGGCUCUGCCUUCAAACCAACAGCCGGAAGUGAGAGUUCAACCAACGCCUUUCAAAUGUAAAAAUGGCGUCCUCAAAAUAGGAUCCAUUUAUAAACUUGGACGCAAGUGAGAUUAUCUUAAUCUCAACAAACAGACAAGCAAGCAAAAAAACCUGGACCCUAGAAUAAUGACUCAACCAGGGAAGGCAGAUUAUUUUCCUAAUCAGAUAGGAGUCUAAGGCAAAUAGUCACUAUGGAAAGCUAGUGAGCAUUUAAACUACAGUCUUGGGACCUGCUCAUGCCUGUAAUCCCAGCACUUUGGGAGGCCAAAGAGGGAGGAGCACUUGAAGCUAGGAAUUCAAGACCAGUCUGCGCAACAUAGCAAGACCACUAUCUCUAAAAAACGAAAAAAAAAUUUAGCUUGGCAUGGUGGUACACACCUGUAGUCCCAGCUACAUAGAAGUCUGUGGUGGGAGACUUGCUUGAGCCCAGGAGUUCAAGGCUGCAGUGAACUAUGAUCACUCUCUAGCCUGGGUGACAUAGCAAAGCUUGCUUUAAGAAAAUAAAUAAAUUGAUUAAUUAAACAAAACAUAGUCUUGGAAUUCUUGUUCAGCCCCCAUGUAAAAGAGGGUGUGAGUCUGUGAGAUUCCUCUUUUGCCCCCAC
rnacentral:lncRNA from 10 species